rnacentral:rRNA from 1 species
AAAGUUAGAGGUUCGAAGGCGAUCAGAUACCGCCCUAGUUCUAACCUAAACGAUGCCAGCCAGCGAUCCGGCUGUGUUCCUCAAAUGACACGCCGGGCAGCUUCCGGGAAACCAAAGCUUUUGGGUUCCGGGGGAAGUAUGGUUGCAAAGCUGAAACUUAAAGGAAUUGACGGAAGGGCACCACCAGGAAUGGAGCCUGCGGCUUAAUUUGACUCAACACGGGAAAACUUACCCGGACCGGACACAGGAAGGAUUGACAGAUUAAGAGCUCUUUCUUGAUUCUGUGGGUGGUGGUGCAUGGCCGUUCUUAGUUGGUGGAGCGAUUUGUCUGGUUAAUUCCGUUAACGAACGAGACUCUAUCCUACUAAAUAGGCGCUCCGAUCAUCUGCGUCGGACGCUCUUCUUAGAGGGACAAGCGGCGUUUAGCCGCGCGAGACAGAGCAAUAACAGGUCUGUAAUGCCCUUGGAUGCCCGGGGCCGCACGCGCGCUACAUUGAAGGAAUCAUCGUGUGCUUUCCCUGUCCGACAGGACUGGGUAACCCCUUGAACCUCCUUCGUGCUGGGGAUAGGGGCUUGUAAUUGUUCCCCUUGAACGAGGAAUUCCCAGUAAGCGCGAGUCAUUAGCUUGUGUUGACUAAGUACCCUGCCCUUUGUACACACCGCCCGUCGCUACUACCGAUUGAAUGAUUUAGUGAGGUCUUCGGACUGGCGCUCGGAGCGGCCCAAGGGUCGCGCCGGCGUGCCGGAAAGAUGACCAAACUUGAUCAUU